GUCUCUUCGGGAACAUCCGAUAAAAUUUGAAACGAUACAUAGAAGAUUAACAUGGCUCCUUCGCAAGGAUAAAAUUUAGAACGAUACAAAGAAUAUUAGU